rnacentral:rRNA from 1 species
GAUCAUGGCUCAGGAUGAACGCUAGCUACAGGCUUAACACAUGCAAGUCGAGGGGCAGCAUGGACCCAGCUUUGCUGGGUUUGAUGGCGACCGGCGCACGGGUGAGUAACGCGUAUCCAACCUGCCCUUUACUCCGGGAUAGUCUCCUGAAAGGGAGUUUAAUACCGGAUGUGUUUGUCUUUCCGCAUGGGAGUGACAAAUAAAGAUUGAUUGGUUAAAGGGAAUGGGGAGUGCGUCCCAUUAG